GUUUCUGAGAAGGCCUCAUGACUUGUAUAUCAGCCUAUAUCUCAGACUUCCCAAAGUAAUGGGGCUGAAAUUUGAAAAAAAAAAAAAAAAAAGCUAAUAAAUAACCAGUGUCAAACUGCAGUUGGAUAUGAAAGCAAAGGAGAAACAGAGCUUGUCGAGUUUCACCUGCUACUCAGUAUUCAUGGGAUGACAGCAGAAAGUGCCCACAGGAUGGAAGGCAGAGACGGAAAUGAUGCCUCAUUACAAAGACAUGGGCUUGCAUCUGACAAUAUACCCGGUGUGUCAAUGAUGCUAAUGCUCUGCAGGACUUGGUUGGGGACCUGAGAGCAGAUGAACCUGGUGGUACAUGAAGAGAAAAUGUACUGAGCGUUACCAAAGCAAACACAGGUGUUUCCACCACAACUCUUUGUUGACUGCAUAUCGUCUGUCUGAGGCACUGGGUAGUGAAACAGCUGAUGCAAACCAUCCACCCUCAUUUUCUUACUUUCCCCUUAUUUACCUUACCAAAUGCUAGGCCUUUGCCAAACCCUAUUCAUUGGUGUCUGCUUCUUACUGAAAUGUUUACAAUAUCAGAGGGACUAAAAUAAAAGUUAGAUUUAUGGUUA